UACGAAGGGGGCUAGCGUUGUUCGGAAUCACUGGGCGUAAAGGGCGCGUAGGCGGCUUUGUAAGUCGGGGGUGAAAGCCUGUGGCUCAACCACAGAAUUGCCUUCGAUACUGCAUGGCUUGAGACCGGAAGAGGUUAGUGGAACUGCGAGUGUAGAGGUGAAAUUCGUAGAUAUUCGCAAGAACACCAGUGGCGAAGGCGGCUGACUGGUCCGGAUCUGACGCUGAGGCGCGAAAAGCGUGGGGGAGCAAACAGG
rnacentral:rRNA from 1 species